rnacentral:rRNA from 1 species
GAAUAUUGGACAAUGGGCGAGAGCCUGAUCCAGCCAUGCCGCGUGUGUGAAGAAGGUCUUCGGAUUGUAAAGCACUUUAAGUUGGGAGGAAGGGCAGUAAGCGAAUACCUUGCUGUUUUGACGUUACCGACCGAAUCAGACCCGGCUAACUCUGUGCCAGCAGCCGCGUUAAAACAGUGGGGGCAAGCGUUACUCGGAAUUACUGGGCGUAAAGCUCGCGUAGGUGGUUCGUGAAGUUGGAUGUGAAAUCCCCGGGCUCAACCUGGGAACUGCAUCCAAAACUGGCGAGCUAGAGUAGGGCAGAGGGUGGUGGAAUUUCCUGUGUAGCGGUGAAAUGCGUAGAUAUAGGAAGGAACACCAGUGGCGAAGGCGACCACCUGGGCUCAUACUGACACUGAGGUGCGAAAGCGUGGGGAGCAAACAG